rnacentral:rRNA from 1 species
UACGGAGGGGGCUAGCGUUGUUCGGAAUUAUUGGGCGUAAAGCGCGUGUAGGCGGCGUGACAAGUCGGGUGUGAAAGCCCUCAGCUCAACUGAGGAAGUGCGCCCCGAAACUGUCGUGCUUGAGUGCCGGAGAGGGUGGCGGAAUUCCCCAAGUAGAGGUGAAAUUCGUAGAUAUGGGGAGGAACACCGGUGGCGAAGGCGGCCACCUGGACGGUAACUGACGCUGAGACGCGAAAGCGUGGGGAGCAAACAGG